rnacentral:rRNA from 1 species
GUUAUUUGAAGUAUAAGUAAUCUCGCCUGCUCAAUGUUAAAUGGCUGCAGUAUCCUGACUGUACAAAGGUAGCAUAAUCAAUUGCCUUUUAAUUGGAGGCUGGAAUGAAUGGUGGAACAGGGAGGACAGUUUUAUAACUUGAAUUUAAAUUAAUUGUAAAAAUGCAAUUAUUGUUCUUUGGGACGAGAAGACCCUAGAAGCUGGAGGGGCCUGUUGGUUGGGGCGACUGGUGAAUAUAUUAAACUUUAUAUAAGUUACUCUAGGGAUAACAGCGUUAUUAAAAUUAGGAGUUCUAAUUUGAAUUUUAGUUUGCGACCUCGAUGUUGAAUUAAAGGGUGAAGGAGCUCUAGCCUGUUCGGCUAUUAAAUAUUUACA